rnacentral:lncRNA from 1 species
GAACUCCCCCAGGACUGCAUCAAUCACCGCUGGAUGGUCCUCCUCCUCGAGGUUCUCCGCUCACCUCGCGGAUUGCCGCAAGAUAAGUGAUCUCUCCACGCUUUACCCCCUUCCGCAGUUGCAGAGCGGAGAGGGUGUGGGUUGCCGCUGGCUCGCUGCGGCUAGCCAAGACCAUGCACGGGGCUGCCUCCUCCAUGAUGCUCAAGGCCCCGAGAUGUGGCAUCGGGACCGCUUUCGAUGAAGCUAGAAAGUCGAUGCCGAG